rnacentral:misc_RNA from 1 species
UUUCCGUAGGUGAACCUGCGGAAGGAUCAUUACUGAGUGAGGGCCCUCUAGGUCCAGCCUCCCACCCGUGUUUAUUGUACCUUGUUUCUUCGGUGAGCCCGCCUCACGGCCGCCUGUGGGAAUCUGCCGCCGGGCUCGCGAGCCCCGGAAACACCCUGGAGCUCUGUCUGAAGUUUGCAGUCUGCGCGAAUACUAAAUAAGUUAAAACUUUCAACAACGGAUCUCUUGGUUCCG